rnacentral:lncRNA from 1 species
UUUUGUUUAUCGGGGAAAAGACCUCUUUUUAGGAUGUUAUUGACCUAUAUAUAGAUUGCCACUUGAUCAGUUAUUGCUCUACACGAUCGACCACUAUCUCCUAAAAUCCCGGACCACCUCCAGCCGAUCGGAACCGCAUACAACUGCUUGCGGUUACUGUAACUUCCUUCAAUUGGCGCGAUGGUUUUCUUUAAAACUCUUCCGGUGCUCCUGGUGCACGGCCAGAUUAAUGCCUUUCAAGGGAAUACCGGCAUACCACCUAUCCGCGCCUAAUUGGCUCAACAAUUGCCCUCUCGGUAGCUUUCAAAGUAUUUGGUAGCUGGCGUGAACCGAGGCGCGAUUACUUUUCAACUUCCUGGUACGGUUUCGUCUCAAACGUCCACUUUUCUACUGCCGAAAUCCCGCCAUCGCUUUAAUAACAAGUGAGAUCCAAGGGCGUGGUUCUCGGUCCAAUUAAAUUCAAAUUCUCUGUACGAGUCACUGAUGUAAUCUGAGACGUGAUCCUUUGCACGAUUCAAACUUGGCUGUCCAUUUUUAUUUUUACGGCCCCAAUCUCGCCUUCUACUUUUGUCUUAUCCGCGGCAUUAAUUAGGACAUCUUAAUUACAGCCGUCUAUUCAUCAUUAUAGCUGCUCUCGGAACUCGCUUCGAUGCGACGGUUCAACACGACAGCCUUUUCUUCUUCUCCAAGCUUCUCAUUUCUUUUGUUUUUUCUGUUCCUUUUUUGUUUAUUCCUCGUCUUCUCCGACGAAACCUCUCCUUCGCUUCUCUUUACUUCUUCUUCGUCUUCUCUGAUUUUUUUUUAAUCUUCAUCUUUCAUUCAUAGCUUCUACUCAUUUCAUAGUUUCUUUUCGCUUCGAGUAAUGGCGCCGCUCCCGCCUUUACCUACUCGUCCUUCGCUGGAUUAUACCUUGCUUAAAUCGUAUCUCGAAACGGACCCUACUAGAUUCAUUUUGGGUCCCUCUUUUACUGAAAACCUGCCUACUGAUGACUUCCCUUAUUCUGACGACGGUCUUCCAUUAGUGGCCAAAUCCAUACAUCUCCAUUCCUGGUACCCUUCAGCUUCAACAGGAAAAAGUCUGCGAACUUGGCCUAGUGUUUCGGAUACUUAUUUGGCUUGGUCAGAUCGAGUGGAAGCCGCCUAUGGUGAUUUCUGGUGGGACAUUGGGGUCUAUGAAGCUAUUCGGUUGUCUUGGAAACCUCCGGUAGCCGACAACCUUCUUUUGGCUUCUGCUCUCUGUUUCUGAUCUCCUGUUUGCAAUGUUUUUCUUUUUAAAGGGGGAUCUCUUACUCCGACUCUUUUAGAUGUAGCAGCUAUCAUUGGUCUACGGCCUCAUGGUGUUACUCUCUCCAUGGCCUACAAUCCUGAUGGUGUAACCGAUUUUGAGGCCCAUCUUGACCCCACUGAUUUAGCCUACUCCUUAAAUUUGCAGGUGAAUCCCCUGCCCCUGUCACUAAGAAAGAACACACAGCAUUCCUUCUAUAUUGGUUAUGUCAUAACCUCUUCUGCACUCGUUCGCAGAAGAUUAAUCGAGAUUUUGUCCCCAUCGCCGUCGAUUUGUCUAACAGCGAUAAAUUAGCUCUUGGGCCUUACUUUCUUGCUUUUGUCUAUAGAGAAAAUUUUGAUUCUCUCGAACCACUACCCUCUGGAGACGAGGUAACAAUCAGUUCGGGUUGUUGUGUUUUCUGGUUUUUACAAAUGUUUUUGCAGAUUUACUUCCCUAAUUUGUGCCGAACUCCUUUGAAUAAAGAUUCGGCUGCUUAUUUUGAUUCUUAUGGGCUGGUUCUCGCCCGUCCUCCGCCGUUAACAUCAGGCCGUCUUUCUGACUUUAUCUCUUAUUUUAAAAUGUUUUACGAAUCUCGUCCUCAUUUCUCCAUUCAUUGAUCUCCAUUUGCUGACCGUGUCACCGGUCCGUCUUGGUUCUUAGCAAGAUACGAAGCUCUUCAAGGCGAACUUGCUUUUUCUCGCGUCGGCCAGUAUGCCGAUGUUUGGUACUCUUUUUUGGCACCAAGGGAUUUGCACAGUGGAAUGAAAUCGCGCUCGAAAUUGUUGCUUAGUACUGAGGUUUAUUCUCCUCAGCUCGUAGCGCGUUAAUUUGGAUUUACCCAAGCAGUCCCUGCUCCAGCCAAGUUCUUCACGGCCAAUACUGCUGUUGACCGACCCCCUACCAAGAGUAUAGCCGAUGCUGAUCGGAUCUCGGCUAUGGAAAAUCGCCUUCGGCGGUUCUUCAAAUUAGUAAGCUUCAGGCUGAAUUACACAGGGGUGGUAGGCUUUCGAUAUACCGUCACCUGGGAUCACUUUGCCGAUCGUAUUUUCAAUCGAUCAGCAUUACAAGCGUUCCGUCAGACUAUUCUCCCACUCGGUACACCUCUUUUGCUUAUAGUCAUUCUUCUUUCAUUUUAAAAUCUAUUAAAUUUUAUUUGUCUCUAGAUACAACGGUACCUAUUCCAAUUGAUCUCGCUGCUUCAUUUGUACCAAAAGAAGAACAAGAAGAGACCUCUAAUAUUCCAACUCCUUCUUCUGUAAUACACUCUGCUUUUCUUUGGACUUUUCUUUUCUUACUAUACCCAACACUUAUUUUGCCUUUAUCUUUUUGCCUACAGUCAAUUCCAGUUUCUCCAUCGGUACCCGCUUCAGA